AGUCAACCUAACCUAUGGACGGGAAUAACCUCGGGAAACUGAGAAUAAUGCCCGAUAGAACAUUAUGCCUGGAAUGGUUUAUGUUCCAAAUGAUUUAUCGCCGUAGGAUGGGACUGCGGCCUAUCAGUUUGUUGGUGAGGUAAUGGCCCACCAAGACUAUUACAGGUACGGGCUCUGAGAGGAGUAGCCCGGAGAUGGGUACUGAGACACGGACCCAGGCCCUAUGGGGCGCAGCAGGCGAGAAAACUUUGCAAUGUGCGAAAGCACGACAAGGUUAAUCCGAGUGGUUUCUGCUAAAGAAACCUUUUGUCAGUCCUAGAAACACUGAUGAAUAAGGGGUGGGCAAGUUCUGGUGUCAGCCGCCGCGGUAAAACCAGCACCUCAAGUGGUCAGGAUGAUUAUUGGGCCUAAAGCAUCCGUAGCCGGCUCUGUAAGUUUUCGGUUAAAUCUGUACGCUCAACGUACAGGCUGCCGGGAAUACUGCAGAGCUAGGGAGUGGGAGAGGUAGACGGUACUCGGUAGGAAGGGGUAAAAUCCUUUGAUCUAUUGAUGACCACCUGUGGCGAAGGCGGUCUACCAGAACACGUCCGACGGUGAGGGAUGAAAGCUGGGGGAGCAAACCGGAUUAGAUACCCGGGUAGUCCCAGCUGUAAACUAUGCAAACUCAGUGAUGCAUCGGCUUGUGGCCAAUGCAGUGCUGCAGGGAAGCCGUUAAGUUUGCCGCCUGGGAAGUACGUACGCAAGUAUGAAACUUA
rnacentral:rRNA from 1 species